AGCGAACGCUGGCGGUAGGCCUAACACAUGCAAGUCGAACGGCAGCGCAGUAAGAGCUUGCUCUUCCGGGUGGCGAGUGGCGGACGUAACAGGUAUACAACCUAAUCUACUUUUUCGGGUGGGUUAACGUAACGAAAGUUACGAUAAUACCGCAUACGACCUUCGGGUGAAAGCAGGGGAAAUUCGCACCUUGCGGGAUUGAACUAGCCGAUGUCGGACUAGUUAGUUGGGGGGGUAAAGGCCCACCCAGGCGACGAUCGGUAGCUGGUCUGGGAGGAUGAUCAGCCACACUGGAACUGAGACACGGUCCAGAGUACUACGAGAGGCAGCAGUGGGGAAUAGUGGACAGUGGGCGCAAGCAUGGUCCAGUCAUACCGCGUGUGUGAAGAAGGCCUUCGGGGUGUAAAGCCCGUUUGUUGGGAGAGAAAAGCAGCAGGUUAAUACGCCGCGGGUGUGACGGUAACCAAUGAAUAAGCACCGGCUAACUUCGUG
rnacentral:rRNA from 1 species